rnacentral:rRNA from 15 species
GUAAUAGCUCACUGGUCGAGUCGGCCUGCGCGGAAGAUGUAACGGGGCUAAACCAUGCACCGAAGCUGCGGCAGCGAACGUAUCACUUAAAACGAUUUACAGAGUCAACGACUGACGGAGCGAAGCGACGUCAAAGCGUUUUACAACGUUGAGUCGGUUUAAGGAUACGUUCGUUGGGUAGGGGAGCGUUCUGUAAGCCUGUGAAGGUGUGCUGUGAGGCAUGCUGGAGGUAUCAGAAGUGCGAAUGCU